CAGUGCGUGCAGAUGACGGCCCUAUGGGUUGUAACUGCUUUUAUAGGGGGAUAAAGUGUGCCACGUGUGGCAUAUUGCAGGUACCCUAUGAAUAAGGACCGGCUAAUUCCGUGCCAGCAGCCGCGGUAAUACGGAAGGUCCAGGCGUUAUCCGGAUUUAUUGGGUUUAAAGGGAGCGUAGGCCGUUUGGUAAGCGUGUUGUGAAAUGUCGGGGCUCAACCUGGGCAUUGCAGCGCGAACUGUCAGACUUGAGUGCGCAGGAAGUAGGCGGAAUUCGUCGUGUAGCGGUGAAGGGGGGAGAUAUGACGAAGAACUCCGAUUGCGAAGGCAGCCUGCUGUAGCGCAACUGACGCUGAAGCUCGAAAGCGUGGGUAUCGAACAGGAUUAGAUACCCUGGUAGUCCACGCGGGGGGGCGAUGGUUGCUCGCUGUUUGCGUCUGACGUAAGCGGCCAAGCGAAAGCGUUAAGCAUCCCACCUGGGGAGUACGCCGGCAACGGUGAAACUCAAAGGAAUUGACGG
rnacentral:rRNA from 1 species